GUGCGUCCUUCCCUGCGUUUUCUCUGUUCGUUCUGGAAGGAGGCUGAAAACCAUUGGCUGGCUGGUAGUAUUCCAGAUUUGGCGUGGUGUGGUGGGCUAGCCCAGUUUGGACAGAUCUCGAAAGCGAAGCAGGGUCGGUUCAGGACCUGGAUGGGAGACCACAGAGGAAGACGAAGAUCGCAAUGCAAUGCUAGGCAAUGGCAAUCCGCUUCUCUCCGGACUGAAGAUGGAAAUGAAGUGCAGUGGCUCCCUCGGGUCCAGCUGUUCUUCUGCAGGCCAACUCGGCUACUGGACCGCAGAGGGUAACACUGAUGGCUCUCUUGCGUCAUCCUGGCCAGUGACCUGAGCAGCUGUGGAUUUUGCUGGCUGUGAAAGAAUAACAUGUCCGUGGGUUUCAAGAAGUUGCCUUCUUCACAGCCUGUUCAGAGCACAGUAGCUAUCAUCUAGAGCCAUUCAAGAGCUAGAAUAUUGAUAGAAAAUAAAUAGAAUAUUGAUAGAAAAUAAUUAAUUAUAAGGAUUAACCAUAAGGAUUGUUUAAUCAAUACUAUUUUUGGAAAAAUUGUAUAAUGUACCAAACUGAAUAAGUUUAUUUGAAGAUAUAUAAGAGUCAAAUUGAUUGGUAUCAUAUGAUGAUAGAUAUAUAGAUCUAAGGGGAAUUAAAACAAUAAUGUAAUCAAAUAUAACUAAAGUAGAAAGAAGAAGAUAUGUAGAAUGAGUAAUAUAUAGAGUAUAAGUUAAAUUGGUUGACUUAUAUGAAUGUAUGAUCUAUAUGGUUUAUGAUCUAUAGAAAUAUCUGAAAUUAUGAACUAUGAGAACUAUGAACUAUGAAAAAUGGGAUAAAUUGUUUAUCCAAUAUGGAAAAAAGGGACUCAAAGUUAGGGUACAGAGUAAUAAAAAUAGUUAAAGAAUUAUUGCUUAGAAUAAAGGGAGAAUGUAUAUUUGUUAGAUAGAGGAAUAUAAAAGGAGUAAGGGAAAAGGGACAAAGGGUUGGAAAACUGUUGGAAGUCAACAAAAGGGGGGGAAAGGGAGGGGGUUAGAAAUUGGGAAAUGGGAGAACUGAUUGUAAAAUGAAAAUAAUUGAUCCUAACCCAAUAAAAAAAUUAAAAAAAAAAAAGAGCUGGAACAGACGGAAUAGUUUUUCUGCUGCUACAGAGAAGGUUCCUAGCGGCCCGUUUUAAAAUGAGAUAACCAUGAAUGGUUAUCUCAUUAUCAGAAGUAACUGAUUUCCUUAACAGAAGCAAACUGAUCUCCAUAUCAGAAGCAGCUGUUUGCAUCUACUCCUCCCUCCCCUCUCCACCUAUAUAUCUGACCCGUUUCUUCUUGCCCUCCAUGCAUCUGACGAAGAGAACUGCGAUUCUCGAAAGCUUCUGCUACAAUAAAGUUGGUUAGUCUUAAAGGUGCUACUGGACUCUUUUUGAUUUCCCUGUGUGAAAGAACUGGUCUUUCUGAGGUACCUCUCAGUUUUAUUUGAAAGCAGCCAUGGAGUCGGGAGUUAUAUUUGGGAAAGAAGGCAACUUCUGCUAGGCAAGGCCCAAACAGGGCGUUUGUUCUGUGUACAUGUCUGCCUGUAAAUUGGUGUGGGGGGUGAAAUGGAGCAAGACCAGAAUGGGUACGCGAGAGGGGAUGAAGUCUGUUCUCUCCCAUACCACAUUUGUAAAUUGUUUUUUCCGCUCUGCUUUGUUGAGCUAGUAGAAAAUUCAAGUGUCUGAGCCUAGGAAGAUAAGAUGUGAGAGAGGACAGUGGUUAGUUCCCCACAUCCACUGGGCCCAUUGCUCUUUAGAAACAAAUCUAUGAGGAUUCCAUGAAAGAAGGGGGCGAAAUAUGCAAAACUGCACCUCACUGAAGUGAGAAGUUGAAUUGCCUGUGAAAUAGGAUUACCUCCUUGAAAGUCAUUUACUAAAAGCAAAUACAAAACGCUAAAGAAUGGAACAAACUGAAAAUUUCCCAAGAAAAAUAUCUGCACAUCUGUAGACAGCAAAUUAUUCUCAUGUUGGAAUAUGUCUAUCCAGACAGUCUGAGCACUGAUAUUUGUUCCCUGAGGAAUUCAUGCUGCAAGUCCCUCAGGGAAAAUUCCUUGAAGUUAUUACCCCGAUGCUAUAUCACCCCGGUACGUCUUGCUAGAAUAAAUAACACAAACUGUUAGAGGAGUCAGCCAGGCUAUUAUAUACAUGUGUGGUGGUUGUGCCCUGCAGUAUCCUCCAGGCAUCUGACGAAGAGAGCUGUGGCACUCGAAAGCUUAUGCUACAAUAAAGUUGGUUAGUCUUAAAGGUGCUACUGGACUCUUUGCUAUUAUGUUUUAUACUGUGCAAGAUAAAUUUGAAAAGUCCUCCAUAAACAGUUUAAUUCAACAUUGCCCGUUUUCUUUUUCAUCUUUUCUCUCUCAUUUUUGUUCCUUAUUUAAUCUUUUUGGUUGUUGUUGUUAUAUUAUAUGCUCACUCCUUAUUCUUAUAUAUAAUAUUGUAUGUUAUGUAUGUG